UCCUACGGGAGGCAGCAGUGGGGAAUAUUGGGCAAUGGGCGCAAGCCUGACCCAGCAACGCCGCGUGAAGGAAGAAGGCUUUCGGGUUGUAAACUUCUUUUAUGAGGGACGAAAGAAAUGACGGUACCUCAUGAAUAAGCCACGGCUAACUACGUGCCAGCAGCCGCGGUAAUACGUAGGUGGCAAGCGUUAUCCGGAUUUACUGGGUGUAAAGGGCGUGUAGGCGGGAAUGCAAGGCAGAUGUGAAAAUUAUGGGCCUAACACAUAACCUGCCUUUGAAA
rnacentral:rRNA from 1 species